rnacentral:rRNA from 1 species
UACGGGGGGGGCAAGCGUUGUUCGGAAUUACUGGGCGGAAAGGGCUGGUAGGCGGCCAACUAAGUCGGAUGUGAAAUCCCCAGGCUUAACCUGGGAACUGCAUCCGAUACUGGUCGGCUUGAAUCCGGGAGAGGGAUGCAGAAUUCCAGGUGUAGCGGUGAAAUGCGUAGAUAUCUGGAGGAACACCGGUGGCGAAGGCGGCAUCCUGGACCGACACUGACGCUGAGGCGCGAAAGCCAGGGGAGCAAACGGG